AACGCACAUUGCGCCCCUUGGUAUUCCAUGGGGCAUGCCUGUUCGAGCGUCAUUUGUACCCUCAAGCUCUGCUUGGUGUUGGGUGUUUGUCCCGCGUUGUCGUGUGGACUCGCCUUAAAGCAAUUGGCAGCCGGCAUAUUUGGCCUUGGAGCGCAGCACAUUUUGCGCUUCUAGUCAUGAAUGUUGGCGUCCAUUAAGCCUAUUACAUUUGCAUUUUGACCUCGGAUCAGGUAGGGAUACCCGCUGAACUUAA
rnacentral:misc_RNA from 1 species